rnacentral:lncRNA from 1 species
CAGUAUAUGCGGUAAAGUCUGAAGGCCAUUUUCAAAUGGGUGACAUUAGAAUCAAGCCUCUUGAAGUAAAGCAAACAGAGAAGGAGUGAACAAAGCUGGUUUUAGAAUGGUAAAUUGUCUCCUAACCUGGAACUUCUUUCUGCCCGUGCAUACCCACAGCAUAUCACACCUGACCCCAAAGAUUCUGCUUUCCCUAGUGAGGCCAGCCUGCCUUAAAACACUGACUGUCCAAGGAACAUAUUGGCCCCUCAGAUGGAUGAGAAGUUCAGGUGAAGAAACUAGGAAACCACAAAGAGCAGUGAUGUUUGCAGGGCUGAAGCACACUGAGGAUUCUUCCCAUCCAGGGACCAAAGUGUCUGAUACGAUGGAUGGACUGGUUUCCUGGAUUGCCAAAGAUGGUACAGAAUCUUCAUUCUUCCAGAUUUUUAAAUAGCUGACAAAGUCCUGAAGUGAAGAAAGAG